rnacentral:rRNA from 1 species
GCAACUCGCCUACACGAAGUCGGAAUCGCUAGUAAUCGCGGAUCAGCAUGCCGCGGUGAAUACGUUCCCGGGCCUUGUACAUACCGCCCGUCACACCAUGGGAGUUUGUAACGCCCAAAGUCGGUGGCCUAACCUUUAUGGAGGGAGCCGCCUAAGGCGGGACAGAUGACUGGGGUGAAGUCGUAACAAGGUACC